GGAAGUAAAAGUAACAAGGUUUCCGUAGGUGAACCUGCGGAAGGAUCAUUUAAUUCGAUCAUAACACGCCAAUCAUGGUAACCUAUAUGUGUUAUCCCCCGGCCCCGGGUCCGCCUGGGGAAUCGCGGGGGGUUGUUUUUACACAACCGCCAAAGCGUUUAAUACGAUAUACAAGUCGGGGAUCCCGUCGACCUGGUCGCGGGCCUCGCAACUAACCAAGAAAAACCCCUAACAACGGAUGUCUUGGCUCUC
rnacentral:misc_RNA from 1 species